rnacentral:snRNA from 1 species
GGAUCACUUUGGCAAUACAUACACUAACACUGAAACAAUGCAGAGAUUAGCAUGGCCCCUGCACAAGAUGAUACACAAAUCCUUGAGAUGUUCAAUAUUUUU